CGGCGUGCUUAACACAUGCAAGUCGAACGGGAUCUGCGUGGCCUUUGUGGUUGUGUGGUGAGAGUGGCGAACGGGUGAGUAACACGUGAGUAACCUGCCUUUUUCUUUGGGAUAACGCUCAGAAAUGGGUGCUAAUACUGGAUGUUCUGCGCUUUCCGCAUGGGGGGUGUGGGAAAGGGGCCUUUGUGGUUUCUGGAGGGAGAUGGGCUCGCGGCUUAUCAGCUUGUUGGUGGGGUGAUGGCUUACCAAGGCUUUGACGGGUAGCCGGCCUGAGAGGGUGGGCGGUCACAUUGGGACUGAGAUACGGCCCAGACUCCUACGGGAGGCAGCAGUGGGGAAUUUUGCACAAUGGGGGGAACCUUGAUGCAGCGACGCCGCGUGAGGGAUGGAGGCCUUCGGGUUGUGAACCUCUUUCGCUCGUGUGCAAGCCGCUAUUUGGGUAGUGGUGAGUGUAGCGGGUAAAGAAGCGCCGGCUAACUACGUGCCAGCAGCCGCGG
rnacentral:rRNA from 1 species